GUGGGUGUAGCACAACGGCAGUGUACCAGUCUUCCAAACUGGGGAAGCGAGUUCGACACUCGUCACCCACA
rnacentral:tRNA from 1 species